UUGUAAACAAAAGCUUUUAUUUAUUUAUUUUUUACUAUUAGUGUAAUCUGUUUGGAAAACAGUGAUUCUGUAUUUUGCUUUCGUCAGGUCUUUGAUCAUUGAAGGAAAUGGAGUCAUCUUUAAAGACAGUUUUUUUUUACAGCUGUGUAACUUUCUUUAUAUAUAAAUGUCAUGGGGAGCACUGUUAAAGAAGAAAUGAUACUAAACUUUAAAUUUCCUUAACCACGACCAUUUAAAAAAUCUUUUGUCAUUUGCAGACUUAUUUUUUUUAAAUUCUGAUUCUUUGGCGAAAAGUGUUCCUGCAAAGUACUUCAUUUUCAAGGAGAUUCAUGGAGAAGUCUUUGACAUCUGAUAUUCUAUAGGCUUUGUUGCAACAUCUGUGAGAGAGAAGAUGGAUGGUGAACCCACAGAAAAUUUGGGCCCAGGUGAAACGGGAUACAGACCAUAUUCCCUCAUAGCUCAUGGCUGGGGGAAGUGGAGAAGAGGAUAAGGCUUAAUAAAGGCAAGUGGAUAGCCCCGUCUUCCCUGAAGGGAACCUGUGCUACAGCUGUGUACAAAAGGUGCAAAAGCUGACUCCAAAGCCACCAAGGAUCCUGCCUUACAAGAUGCUGACCUGUUAACUUCCAGAGCCAGACUCUAUCUGGACUCUUGGGACUUGGGACAUAAGGAAAGGUUACUCUCUUGGGACUACACCUUUCCUGGACUUCACCAUGAUUCAGUGUACCUCAGUACAUGCUUUCCUGGACUAUUACAUGGAGGCUGAUGACAGCGUACCCCAGAUCCUGAAGGAGAGAGCUACUGCGAGGCUGUUUGCACAGCUGCUUAAGCACAAAAGGAUGUGGGGAACUAUUGGGCUUGGCUUUGGCUUUUAGCCUUUUGGGGAAAGGGAAGUGGUAGGUCUCGGGGAAGAACAGGGCUCUGAGCUUAAGUACUCUCACUGUCCCCCAAGGUUGGAAUAUUGUAAAGGAAAACCUGUUUCUUCUAAUAGUAAUUGUUGGAUCAUACAUCAAGGUACUACAUGAAUGGGCCCCUUUCUGCUUGGUUACACAGGCACUGUUAUAAGUGUUAGAAAUGUGAGAGAAAUAGAGGCAGGAGGAACCAGGCUAUCUGAUCCAGGUGCCUUUGAUGCUACGCUGAGAGAUGGGCUGAGUCAGGUUGACUUCAGCACCAGGGGGAAGGCAAGAGUGGGGUUUUUAAGAGAAAAAGCUAGGGAUUUGUGAGGGGAUAGGAGAAGGGUUAGUCUCUUGUUCUUCUAGGCAGGUGACUCAGGGUUUCCGGAUGUGAGCUGGGACAAUGGGUUAGGUAAAGGGUGGGCUGUUCCCUGAUACUAGAGGGUCAGUGUGGCGCCAGGUGUCUACUGUGCACAGUAGGGGAGAGUUUCAAUUGUGCUGCAGGCUACCAAGUGAGUUGGGACAGCUGAGUCAUAGGCAUUCCAGAGGGUUGGAAACUGGCCUGACUGGGUCAUUAGCAGUUUGGGGGUUGGGAGUAUGGCCUGACUUUUUAGAUAAGGUUUCAGGAGUCAUUUUGUGAGGUAAGAUUUUUGUUGUUACAAUAGCUGUGUUUAGAUUCAUGUCUAUCCAACCCCUAAGAAUGUAAAGAAGAUGCAAUUUUUGUAGGGAUUUUGGGGGGUUUAGAAAAUCUUUAUUCUCCAUCUGACACUGUGCGUACUCCAUUCUUUAGGCCACCUGGCAAAGAAAGGGCUUGUGUGGGACUCGGGAUCAGAGCAGCAAGCAACCAUUGAGAAGGCAAAAAUGCUAGUGAAGCAUAUUAAAUAAAGCUCUGGGCAGCCCAGGAGAGAAACAAAAUCACACUGUCUGUAUCACACAGUAUUGCCGCCCAAACUGAAUUGUAGCUGGCGGGCAGCCCCAGGAGGUCUCUCAAAAAGUAUGGUUUUGGUGUAUAGUAAACAGUUUAUAGCUGCCCACACAUAAUAUAUGAAAAUUAAAUGUAUGUGAGUCAUGGAAUAUAUGUAUAUCAAACUUGAAUAAGAGUUACAUCUACUCCUGAGCUGUUGCGAAGAGUCAGUGAGGUAUUUUAUGUGACCAUGCCUAGUACAGGCUUAGCACUGACCAGUGGUUAUUCUCAGAGUAUGGCAACCAGACUGGCAUCAUUGGCAUCACCUUGGAACUUGUCAGAAAUACACUUUUGGGUUUCAUCCUAGACCCACUGCAUCAGAAAUUCUGGGGGUGGGGUGGACUGUCUGUGUUUAGCAAACCUUUCCAGGUGAUUCAGAUGCAAUGAAGUCUAAGAACGACUGACACAGACAUUGGUUUUCUUCUUUUCUUUAAAGGAAUCUCUUCAAAGAAAAUACAUUCUUCCACAGUCUCCUUUAGUAAACUUUUCUAGUGAUAAAUGGGUUCCAGCUAGUCUGGAAUUUCAUACAUGUUGCCAAACUUAAUUUUUCUAUCGAGUUUAAUCAUAUUUUGAAUUGUCCUAAUAGAAAUAGUAAAACAUCUGAUCACCACUCUUCCUGUACUUCUCCACCAAUGUCAAGACCAUUCAGCCAUCUAUAAGUCUUUUUUUCCUUUGGGUCAGUUAAAACUUUUUUGAGCCUUGCCUAGUGUAGCUCAGUGGAUUGAGCGCGGGCCUGCAAACCAAAGGAUCACUGUUCAAUUCCCUGUCAGGGCACAUGCUUGGGUUGCAGGCCAGUUCCCAGCAGGGGACGCACAAGAGACAACCAUACAUUGAUAUUUCUCUUCCUCUCUCCUUCCCUUCCCCUCUAAAGAUAAAUAAAUAAAUAAAUAAAUAAAUAAAUAAAUAAUAAAACAAACAAAAAAAACCCCAAACCUUUUUUGAUAUGUGUACCAGUUUUGACAUAUAACUCAAAGUACAUGAACUUCUAUUUUCUUGUGUAUUUUUGUGUGUGAAAAAUGGCACAUUAUAAUAAUUUCAUACCUGGCAAAGUUUCCAUUGACUUUUAUUUCUCCAGUACUCUUUGUCAAAUCAGAAUACCUCAGGAAAAUAAGGAUUUCUUUACAAAACUCAGAAUGUUGAUUUAUCCCAAUGGGAUACAGUUAUGUGAAAAUUACUACUCAUACCAUCACAAUCAAUACUUUCUAUCAAGAACAUAUGAGUGAUACUUGUUAUGGUGAUCAUUAUUUAUAUCAAAAUAUUUUUUAAUCUUUCAUAAAUUAGUGUGUAAUUACUGGUUUUAUAUGCUAAAUCAUACAUUUAUGUUUUGUGAUGAGGAUAGAGGCCUUGUUUGUUAAAAGAAGGAGAAGAAGAAGGAAGAGAAGAACAAGAACAAGAAGAAUAUGAGUGAAAUUAAUAGAAGCAAUUGAAAAAGCUGUUUGAGACACCACAAAAGAAGUAAAUCCUUAUGAGUUUAAUAACUUAAAAGGUAUUUAAUUUGAACAAAAAAUUGCUAAAUCACAUAAUAAAUUAUGAUUGUUUAACCAGCUCAAAAAAAAAAACAACAACAAUAAAACUCUGGGCAUCUUCCAAGGAAGGCUUGCAUUUGAGUUAGAUGUUCUGUGACUCUAGAAGUUAGGUGUUAGGCACUGUGGCAGAGAUAAGAGAAAGGGAUAUUCUCCUCUAGAGCAACAGUUCCUAGCAGUACAUGUAGUGUUUCUCCAGGUGAAGCCUCUAAUGAAGGAAUAAAUUAGAGAAGACUGUGCUGAACUGAGAGCAGUUUGGCUGGUGACCACUCAUAUGUCCUUGCCAUUAACCUUUUGCCCUGACAGUUGGAUGGUUCUAAAGAGAUUAACAUUAUAGCUUGAACAAGGGAAAGCUGAGGGUGGAUAAUUCAUGAGUGAUCCCUUCUGGGGUCAGGAUAUGAGGAGGGACAUUUGCGUUUGCCACCAAGAGUGUAAGGCAGUCCUCACUAUCUUCUGCAUCAGUAAAGUAUUGACACCUACUGGCAAUCAAGAAGCUGAUAUCCUAGCAAUUGACCCUUUAGUAUGUGCAGCAGAUUGGGUGCAUAGAAAGAGUAGCCUUUGCACUAUUCAGGUGGGAUGGCAUACUGUCAAGAAUGCUAGAUUUCCCUUGAAAUACAGUAACUUGGUUAAUGGAGUAAUAGCAUGUCAUGUGUGCUCUAAACAACGCCCAAGGCAACAGCCAAAGGAGUCUGGGGCCAUCCACCAGAGUUCUCAACUGGUGAAGUAUAGGCCAAUUGAUUAUAUUGGCCCACUCCUUCCAAGUGAGUGUUCUUAUAGAUAUGCCUUGGUUUGUGUGGAUGCUGAGUCUGACCUAACCCAAACUUUCUCUUGUUGCCGUGCAAACUAGGCUGCCAUCAUUAGUGGGUUAGAGAAGCUGAGUACCAUGUAUAGAUACCCUAGUUAAAUAGGUAAUGAACAGAGAUCACAUUUCAAAGGCCCUGAUGAACAGUAGUGGGCAAGAGAACAUCGCAUUGAAUGGGAGGUUCCAUUUUCCCUAUAACCCCUAAGCAGCAGGGGUUGGUAGACAGGGAGAAUGAAAUAUUAAAGCAGCAGAUUAAGUUACUAACAGGUAAACCACCUUGGCUGGGUAGGCUGAAGUAUUGUUCCAAGUUUUAAUAUAUUUGAAUGAUGAGUCGGAGGGCCUGCUACCCUAUAUGCUAGACUUGGGAUCCUUACCAAGCACGCAGGACUGUAAAGGUAUGGAAGUCUCAAUAAAAAAGCCAUUGUCCUCACUCUUA